CUCCGCUAAGAGAUGAGCGGAUGAUCAGAGAGCUGGUUGGAGUCUCUUUUCGGGCCAUUCUUCACUCGUCACCUGCCACCCAUUUUCACAAGUCUCGGUCGAUCCAUUCACGUCUUCCCUCAUGGAGGCCUUCCGCUCUGUGAGGCUAACGUGCCGCACCACGUUGGCGCCGUCCAUCGCGAGGGAGGAAAAUGAACACGUGCUGCGCAUCUUCAAUGCCCCUGCGCAGUACGCAGAGCGUGAAGCGGAGAGUCGCCUGCACAGGUUCCAUGGGCGUGCCGGCUUCCUGAAGCGACAGCAUGAACCCGCCAUCGGCUUUAAUCCGCUCCGCUUUCUGGAACGGAUGUCCACGGAAGCGAUGACAGAUAUGGACGCGGAGAAAAUGGCCUACUCGAUGCACACCCACGCCACAUCGUUUGAUCAGCUGCUGAGCUUUCUAAUCGCGAAACUCCAGGAGACCGUGCAGGGCGUUUCUUGGAACCGCCCGCAAGCGCACCAGGAGUGGGAUGCCGAUUUGCGCUUCUACGGGCCUUGGUGGCUCGUCGUGCGCUCGGAGCGCCACCUUAGGCAGCCCCACGGCUCGACGCGCUCCAUCUUGACGCACAAUACAAGCGCCUCUUCCACUGUACAGGCAAGACGCACCGCCAGCGCCGUCCCCCCGCGCGACCUCCUCUUCACGCUACACGAGGGCAAGCCAGAGAAUCAAUACACGCCACUGCUGGUAGAGCAGAGCAUUGCGGCAGAAAGCCAGCUGAUUGCCGACAUUGCACUUCGAUUAGGCGGACAUACUUUUCAGCUCAACCUAUUUCAUCUUAGCGGUGUCUUUCUGGGACCUGAUCGAAUGCACGUUCUCGUUUUCGACGGCUUCCGACGAUUGUGCGCGGGGACGGCCACCGCGACCACGACAGCUUCAGCGAUCCAGUCAGAAUUCAUGGAUGGCGAGGACAGUCUUCUCUCCACCCUGUCCUUGUCCUCCUGCCACAUAGCUUCCGCAGGACUUCUCAUCCUCCUUGCCGGCAUUGUCUACCUCUCCAAGCAUCACAAUUGUCACGUGCACUCGCUUGACCUCUCGUACAACGACCUGACGAGUAGCUCACUGUGGUGCCUUACACAGACGCUGCCCUUCACGAACAUCAGGCGGCUGAGUCUCCGUGGAAACGUCCUCACCAGCAGAGACCCAUCGGCACUGUGCGAGCUGCUCUCAGAUGGUUGCAACCGAGAGAUAGAGGAACUGGAUCUCAGCUACACAGCCCUCUCUGCUGCGCAGACAAGCGCCCUGAUCGACUACCUUCCGCGCCUGUUGAAGCUGCGCGUGCUGCUCCUGGAGGAGGUGGCCGUUCCGUCAGCGAAGUGGCCCGCCUUUGCACUAGCGGUAGCAAAGACGCAUCUGCUGCGCGUGCAACUCUUCGCCGGCGCCCCGUCGUCCGUGAUGGCCGGGUACGCCAAGACCAUCGAAGAGAUGUGCCUGCGCAACCGCCAGCGGGCGAUGGAAUGCUGCGGCGACGAAGUCUUGCGGAAGGGCAUGACAGCAUACUUUGGCGUGAAGAACGCGAGCUUUUUCCAGGAGUUUUUCCAAGUUUCGCUGCUCCGAGGUGGUCUCGCGUUUGGGGAGACGACGACAGCGCUGCCAGGCGGGUACGGUAUCUUUACCGACAAUGACCCAAGUCUGCAGGUCGGAGAUGCUUCGGAAUGAAACGAGUCUGUGCAACUCUGCAUGUUUUCGCUUUUUUUCGGUCUCUGUGUGUAGUGGUGGUGAUGGGGGGGGGGCUAUCCCGCACUGUUGCCCUUGCUUUUCUUGUUCAUUUAUCUGUCUCAUGUGCAGUCGUGCGUUUGUGUGCGACGCUCACCCAUGAGGCGGCUGCUACGUUUGCGUGUGCAUGAGCGGAUGAACGGAUACGAGUGGUUGGCUUCUCGACGUACAAUGUGGUCCCGGCCUCGCAACCCGGCGUCACCCUCUCUGGAUCCUCUCCCUUCCUCUCACUCUGGCUCACACAAACACACACACACACACACCUCCCUCUUCGUUUUUUUUUCACUCCUUGUGAUUCUUAUUUGGGCGUUGUUGUUCUCUUCCUCGCUUCCCCGUUUGUACGAUACCGCGUAGCUUUCGGAUUGUUUCUCGUUCGUUUCUGCUUUGAUCAUCGCGUUUUUUUUCCCCCCUUUUUUCGUGUCGUCGUUGCAUCUCUUCGUUUUUUUUUGGGGGGAGAUGUUUUAUCGGGCUGUGUGAUAGUUGUGGUCGCUGAUGUAUUAUCCAGCGGUGCGUUUGUUUCCUUUGGAGUUACAGCUCCCUCCCUUCCGCUCACUCACUCACUCUCGUCUGUGUGUUUGUGUGCGCCUGUGCGUAAGUGAAGAUUUCUCUGUAUUAUUGUUUGUUUAUUAUUUUGCUGCUCGUCUCUGGAUCCUGGAACUUGUUCUGUGUUUGCCUCCUUCUCCUUUCGCGAUUCUCUUUUCCGCGUUUCUGCCUCUCCCUGAUAUUUGUUCGAGAAUGUUCGAAGGUACUCCUGCCGCAGGCAGCAGACAGC
rnacentral:misc_RNA from 1 species